rnacentral:rRNA from 1 species
GGGUUGUGAGGUUAAGCGACUAAGCGUACACGGUGGAUGCCCUGGCAGUCAGAGGCGAUGAAGGGCGUGCUAAUCUGCGAUAAGCGCCGGUAAGGUGAUAUGAACCGUUAUAACCGGCGAUACCCGAAUGGGGAAACCCAGUGUGAUUCGUCACACUAUCAUUAACUGAAUCCAUAGGUUAAUGAGGCGAACCGGGGGAACUGAAACAUCUAAGUACCCCGAGGAAAAGAAAUCAACCGAGAUUCCCCCAGUAGCGGCGAGCGAACGGGGAGGAGCCCAGAGCCUGAAUCAGCAUGUGUGUUAGUGGAAGCGUCUGGAAAGGCGCGCGAUACAGGGUGACAGCCCCGUACACAAAAGCGCAUGUGCUGUGAGCUCGAUGAGUAGGGCGGGACACGUGGUAUCCUGUCUGAAUAUGGGGGGACCAUCCUCCAAGGCUAAAUACUCCUGACUGACCGAUAGUGAACCAGUACCGUGAGGGAAAGGCGAAAAGAACCCCGGCGAGGGGAGUGAAAAAGAACCUGAAACCGUGUACGUACAAGCAGUGGGAGCCCCACCACUAAGCCAGUGGUGAACUCCACAUACGCAUCCUUUGCUGAGGAUACGGUUAACGGAGCGAAAGCGACGUUCAACCGCAAAAGAAGCAGAGGGGGCUUAGUGGUGGGGUGACUGCGUACCUUUUGUAUAAUGGGUCAGCGACUUAUAUUCUGUAGCAAGGUUAACCGAAUAGGGGAGCCGGAGGGAAACCGAGUCUUAAUUGGGCGUUAAGUUGCAGGGUAUAGACCCGAAACCCGGUGAUCUAGCCAUGGGCAGGUUGAAGGUUGGGUAACACUAACUGGAGGACCGAACCGACUAAUGUUGAAAAAUUAGCGGAUGACCUGUGGCUGGGGGUGAAAGGCCAAUCAAACCGGGAGAUAGCUGGUUCUCCCCGAAAGCUAUUUAGGUAGCGCCUCGUGAAUUCAUCUCCGGGGGUAGAGCACUGUUUCGGCUAGGGGGCCAUCCCGGCUUACCAACCCGAUGCAAACUGCGAAUACCGGAGAAUGUUAUCACGGGAGACACACGGCGGGUGCUAACGUCCGUCGUGAAGAGGGAAACAACCCAGACCGCCAGCUAAGGUCCCAAAGUCAUGGUUAAGUGGGAAACGAUGUGGGAAGGCCCAGACAGCCAGGAUGUUGGCUUAGAAGCAGCCAUCAUUUAAAGAAAGCGUAAUAGCUCACUGGUCGAGUCGGCCUGCGCGGAAGAUGUAACGGGGCUAAACCAUGCACCGAAGCUGCGGCAGCGACACUGUGUGUUGUUGGGUAGGGGAGCGUUCUGUAAGCCUGCGAAGGUGGCCUGUGAGGGUUGCUGGAGGUAUCAGAAGUGCGAAUGCUGACAUAAGUAACGAUAAAGCGGGUGAAAAGCCCGCUCGCCGGAAGACCAAGGGUUCCUGUCCAACGUUAAUCGGGGCAGGGUGAGUCGACCCCUAAGGCGAGGCCGAAAGGCGUAGUCGAUGGGAAACGGGUUAAUAUUCCCGUACUUGGUGUUACUGCGAAGGGGGGACGGAGAAGGCUAUGUUGGCCGGGCGACGGUUGUCCCGGUUUAAGCGUGUAGGUGUGUGUUCCAGGUAAAUCCGGUUCACUUUAACACUGAGGCGUGAUGACGAGGCACUACGGUGCUGAAGCAACAAAUGCCCUGCUUCCAGGAAAAGCCUCUAAGCAUCAGGUAACAUCAAAUCGUACCCCAAACCGACACAGGUGGUCAGGUAGAGAAUACCAAGGCGCUUGAGAGAACUCGGGUGAAGGAACUAGGCAAAAUGGUGCCGUAACUUCGGGAGAAGGCACGCUGACAUGUAGGUGAAGUGAUUUACUCAUGGAGCUGAAGUCAGUCGAAGAUACCAGCUGGCUGCAACUGUUUAUUAAAAACACAGCACUGUGCAAACACGAAAGUGGACGUAUACGGUGUGACGCCUGCCCGGUGCCGGAAGGUUAAUUGAUGGGGUCAGCGCAAGCGAAGCUCCUGAUCGAAGCCCCGGUAAACGGCGGCCGUAACUAUAACGGUCCUAAGGUAGCGAAAUUCCUUGUCGGGUAAGUUCCGACCUGCACGAAUGGCGUAAUGAUGGCCAGGCUGUCUCCACCCGAGACUCAGUGAAAUUGAACUCGCUGUGAAGAUGCAGUGUACCCGCGGCAAGACGGAAAGACCCCGUGAACCUUUACUAUAGCUUGACACUGAACAUUGAGCCUUGAUGUGUAGGAUAGGUGGGAGGCUUUGAAGUGUGGACGCCAGUCUGCAUGGAGCCGACCUUGAAAUACCACCCUUUAAUGUUUGAUGUUCUAACGUGGACCCGUGAUCCGGGUUGCGGACAGUGUCUGGUGGGUAGUUUGACUGGGGCGGUCUCCUCCUAAAGAGUAACGGAGGAGCACGAAGGUUGGCUAAUCCUGGUCGGACAUCAGGAGGUUAGUGCAAUGGCAUAAGCCAGCUUGACUGCGAGCGUGACGGCGCGAGCAGGUGCGAAAGCAGGUCAUAGUGAUCCGGUGGUUCUGAAUGGAAGGGCCAUCGCUCAACGGAUAAAAGGUACUCCGGGGAUAACAGGCUGAUACCGCCCAAGAGUUCAUAUCGACGGCGGUGUUUGGCACCUCGAUGUCGGCUCAUCACAUCCUGGGGCUGAAGUAGGUCCCAAGGGUAUGGCUGUUCGCCAUUUAAAGUGGUACGCGAGCUGGGUUUAGAACGUCGUGAGACAGUUCGGUCCCUAUCUGCCGUGGGCGCUGGAGAACUGAGGGGGGCUGCUCCUAGUACGAGAGGACCGGAGUGGACGCAUCACUGGUGUUCGGGUUGUCAUGCCAAUGGCACUGCCCGGUAGCUAAAUGCGGAAGAGAUAAGUGCUGAAAGCAUCUAAGCACGAAACUUGCCCCGAGAUGAGUUCUCCCUGAGACUUAGAGUCUCCUGAAGGAACGUUGAAGACGACGACGUUGAUAGGCCGGGUGUGUAAGCGCAGCGAUGCGUUGAGCUAACCGGUACUAAUGAACCGUGAGGCUUAACCUUACAACGCCGAAG